CUGAAGAAUACUUCUUGAAUACCAGGCAUCCCACCCAUUUUUGUUUUAAUUAGUGGACGAUAAUGGUGGUGGAGAUUUAAUCCAAUUAACAGUGUUUGCUUAAAAUAUAUUAGCUAAAAUGUCUUGUUCUUCUCAAGUAGUAUCCGCCAUUUCGCCAACAAUUAAUGCUAUGAAAAAAAGCUUCAAUAAUACAUCAAGAGAAUGCACCUUCAGCCCGCCUGACAGUGUUAUUUUGGACACGCUAAGAUUGAAUUUUGAGUAAUUUAUCACACGAGUACAAUUCAUGGCAUUUUCAAAUGGAUAGUAACUAAGGGUACUUAUUGAUGCUCUAAAAGAUCACUAAAUAUGCCUUAAGAAUCGGAACAUUUUCACUACA